UACGUAGGGGGCUAGCGUUGUCCGGAAUCAUUGGGCGUAAAGAGCGUGUAGGCGGUCCGGUAAGUCCGCUGUGAAAGUCGGGGGCUCAACCCUCGAAUGCCGGUGGAUACUGUCGGGCUAGAGUGCGGAAGAGGCGAGUGGAAUUGCCGGUGUAGUGGUGAAAUGCGUAGAGAUCGGCAGGAACACCCAGGGGGAAACCAGUCGACUGGGCAUCUACUGACGCUGAGGUGCGAGAUCGUGGGGAGCGAACCGG
rnacentral:rRNA from 1 species